ensembl:lncRNA
AAUAUAUCUUUUUGCAAAAAGAUCUGAACAACUAGGUAUAGCAUUCAAUUAUUUUCCAAUUAAUAAGGAUACUUUACUUAUGAUAUUCUAAAGUCUUUCACUGAAGACAUUAAGGGAAACUUGUUAGUGUAGUUGUUAAAUUCCUUAUCCUGUCAGAAAUUACACAUGUAAGUAUGUGCUAACCUGUGCUGAAGGGGACUGGCCUGAUUCAUUACAAAUAAACACUGUGGAAAGUAUGAGCAGGAGGAGCCUCUACAUGGGAUUAAUGGAAGAGCCCUGUAAGAACUACAUCUAUCACCCCUGUGCUCCAGGAGUCUGGGCUCUUGAUCACAGUAGCGGUUUCCAUAAUUAAUUUCUGAUGGUCUUUCAGCUUUUAUCCAUCUGUGGAACUCCAUUUAUUCCUUUUCCAUCUACAGGUCAGAAAAACCCUCCAGCAAAGUUUUACAGCACUUUAACAAACCCAGCAUGACCCUCCAUGCUGGGUGGUGGAAUAUUUGUCGGGAUUUUCUUCCAGAUUUUAGGGGUUUCCUAAUGUUUCAGAACACUGCAGAGAGACCGUCAAGGGCUUUCACUGAAGGUUUUAAACUCAUUCUAGUGGAGGAUUUUUCUCUCAAUAUAUUUCUAUUUACAGUAUAUCUCAAUGUAAAUUAAAAAAAAUUUUUAAUUAAAGUACAACUGACUGGAAUAAAUAUAUAUUCCCCCUAACACAGGUUUCGACAUUUACGGCACCAACAAAGAAAACUAAGAGAUUAUGUCAGUGAGAUGGUGGAUCUGCCAAAGAUGCAGAUGAUCAUGUGUGACCUCAGUGCCAACUGGAAUAACUCUUAUCGGGAGCUGGAGCAGAGGAUCCUCUCCAUGGAGCAAAAGCUAGAUGAGCUAACUCGCUGUUUUCAACAAACUUCUGAGCUGCUGUCGGAUGUCCUUCACCAUCGCAACAGUCCAGAGAUAAGGUAAAACAAACCAAAACUGCUGACGAAGCACAUAGACACACCGCAGGAUGUGGUUGCUGAGCAAAAGUGGAACAUAUCGACUGCUGCAAACUUUUCCUUUUUCUUUCCAGGUGACAUGGUGACAAAUACCAGAAUUAUUUCCUUCUGCAGAUUUAAGGAGUCCCAUCUGGAGGUACUGCCCUCCUCACACGCUAAACCACUCAGGGGACACCCAUCAACUAUCUCAUCCUCUGUGUUGAGCGGCUGCCCUGUCUGUUUUGUUCUACAGUUUUGUGUUUAGCGUUAAUGAUGCAGAAGUGCACAAAGAACCACAUCUCAUGUACUGGAUGGAUUUAUUUUGCAAGUGAAUGAGCGUCGUCCAACCUGCUAACUGUCUGAUGAAUUUGAUGAUUUUUUAUACUGCCCAAUUCCUCUGGAAUAUUUUUAGACAUGUAUAUAUGUUUGCAAUUUCUCUGAAUGAUCAUGAACCUCAUUUAAAAAAGAAUAAUCAACAAUAGAUCAACAAUUUAAGGUAAUUUUUUUUCCGCACACAUUAAAGAAUUAUUUAAUUUUUUUUUUAAAGAUAGUUUGCAAAAUAUGUAGUUUUAUGAACAAUAAAGCAAUUAAACUAAAAUAUAAUGUAAUAAAAAUGUUGUUUUUUUUAUAUUUAUUUAUAAACAGACUGAGACCAAAAUCUUACACUAAAGCACCUUGAAAUGCUCUUGUUUAAGUAGCUCAACUACACCAUCUAGUGGACGGGAAUGGAAACUGUGCUUCAAUGUCAAACAAAUGAAUCUUUUAAUACAUAUGUAUAUAUUUAUCAGCAAGAAUCAAACUCCCAAUCCCUGUGAACAACUGUAUAACUGGACUAAACUUUUCUGGAGAAUAAAGAGAAGAGUUGAAGCCUUUUGAUUCAAUGUAAUGGUGAAAAAGUAUUUGUGUUCAAACCUGUCUUUUUCUGAUCAACAGACACCCUUCAACUCAAAGCAAUCAAGA